rnacentral:rRNA from 1 species
AUGGCUCUUACUCAGCGUUCACUCAAAUGCAUGGAGACACUCGUUGAGGCUGGUGCCGAUAUUAACUGCAAGGGUUGCGCCAUGUCUCCAUUGGUAUAUGCUACAAUGCGAGAAGGUUGUACCAACUUCAUUCGGUUUCUGUUGAAGGCUGGAGCAGAUCCUAAUAUCCCCGAUGAUUUGGGUAGGUUGCCGGUAGUGCUUGCUGCAAUACGUGAUUGCAUGGAAGAGGUUGAAAUGUUGUUUCCUUUAACUUCCCCAAUUCCAAAUGUCCCAAACUGGAGUGUUGAGGGAGUAGUUUCUCAUGCAAAAAUUGAAGAUAAGAAGCCAAUGGAGCUAAGGGACCAUCAAAGAAGAAAAAAUUUCUUGAAGUUACUAGCUGAUGCGGCAUUCGAGCAGAAGGAGUAUAAGAUUGCAUCACAGUUCUAUGAUACGGCAAUAUGUCAUGAAGAGUGUGCAACACUGUAUUGCAACAGGAGUCUUUGUAAACUGCUCAUGGGUGAUGGUAAAGGUGCUUUGUCAGAUGCUCAAAGGUGCAGUGCUGCGACCUCAUUGGGCAAAAGCUUGAUGUCAUCUAGGUGCAGCUCACAUGCUACUCAAGGAGUAUGA